rnacentral:tRNA from 1 species
GCCGGCAUGGUGUAGUGGUUUGAGCAUCAGACUAUGACUCUGGAGACCAGGAUUUGAAUCCUGGCUUGACC